rnacentral:lncRNA from 1 species
UCCCUCCAAAAUGAAAAGUUUUUGAAUGUUGAAUAAGUUCUCCACUACUACUAGAGGAAUAAUACAUUGUCUUUCAUACAGACUUGACCUAUUAAGCAAUUCUUCUUUUCUCAAGUCAUGCCUGAACUUCCUCAUAAGCAUUGAAAUGGAGCUCUCUGUGUAGAAUUUGCAAGAUAAUUGGUUAAAU